rnacentral:sRNA from 1 species
GGAUGUGAGGGCGAUCUGGCUGUGACAUCUGUCACCGCAUUGAUCGCCAGGGUUGAUUUGGCUGAUCUGGCUGGCUAGGCUGGUGUCCCCUUCCUCCCUCACCACUCC